GACAGAGGUCCCGAGCGUUAGGCGGAAUCACUGGGCUUAAAGCGUGUGUAGGCGGAUCGUUAAGUGCCUUGUGAAAUCCCAUGGCUUAACCAUGGAACUGCUUGGCAUACUGGCGAUCUUGAGCCACUUAGGGGCAACCGGAACAAAUGGUGGAGCGGUGAAAUGCGUAGAUAUCGAGAGGAACACCUGCGGCGAAGGCGGGUUGCUGGGCUGAUACUGACGCUGAGGCGCGAAAGCCAGGGGAGCGAACGGG
rnacentral:rRNA from 1 species